GGGUGUGUGGCCGAGUGGUUAAGGCGCCUGCUUCAGGUGCAGGUCUGUUAAUGUUAACAGGCGCGAGUUCGAACCUCGCCGCAUCCA